AUGGGAGCCAGGCCACAUGCCCGGCAUCAUGCCCUGGGGCCUGGCAGGGGCAGGUCAGCCCCACAUUGCUCAGGAGGCAGCAGCUGGAAUUGGGGCACAGCAAGGUACUGCGGCUUCUUCCACAGCCGGCUGUGGAGUGGCAGGACCUGGCCCUUCUGCAUGGAUAGCAGAAUACAUAUUUUACCUAUCAGAGACAUCUAUUUUUCUGGGCUCCAACCCAUCUUGCCACUGUGUUGACAUAGCCAGCUUCCUGACUCUGCUUUGUGUCCUAGCAGCUAUCAUCCUGAUGGGCCCAGGUCCCUGCAUCAUGCCAGGGUCACAACUGCAAAGUCCCAGCUGGGGGCCUGGGUGGGCAUCAGGCCCUGCUGCUCUAGCCUCAGCUGCCAGCCUGUCCCUGUCCCUGUCGUGAGGAAGCCAGGCCUGCUCUCUUCAUUUCUCUUGGGAGAGUGCCAAACUCAGGGACCUGACUGCUGGGCUGCACUGGGAGUGGGGUGUCCCAGCAGGGGUGGGAUGAGCAGCCUGCUGGGGUCCCUGACCUGAGCAGAGAGGAGUGUUUGAAUUGUUUGGUGGCCUGUAAACUGUCCUAGUUCUAGCCAGACUUAUGGAGACUGCUCUCCACAGCAAGGUUCUGGGCCUCCUCACCUUCAGUGUUAUGCCCCUACCUAUGGGCCUGCCUCGGGCUCCUCGUCUCUGUUCCUGGAGCUUGGGGCUCAGAGGAGCCUCUGCCCAGCCCCUCAGUAUUACCAUGUCUCCCUCCUCUAAGGGAUAGCAGACAGGCCUGCUUGCAGGAAGCUCGCACACUGAGCCCCACCUGCCAGCUUCCUCAGCCUCUGCAAGGCACUCACGGUGGGAGACAGCAGGAUCGAGACAACUGAUUGGAUCCCCUGUGUUCCCAAAGGGUCUGAUGCUAAGGGGCAAUGGGCCUAACACUGCCUCUGGAGCUCAGGCCCCAAACAGCCCCAUGGCCUCUGACAGGUGGCUUUGAACGUGAUCCAAGCAAGCCUCUUAUCUGUACAUAGUGACUGGGGGUCUGGCAGGUGUGGCAGCUGCCUCUCUGGGCUGAGCACAGCCUGACCCCUCCAGCCCCUGUAAAUACUGGAUCAAUGAAUGAAUAAAAUUCUCCUAAAAAAUGA